rnacentral:rRNA from 1 species
GACGGACGCUGGCGGCGUGCCUAAUACAUGCAAGUUGAGCGCUGAAGGUUGGUACUUGUACCAACUGGAUGAGCAGCGAACGGGUGAGUAACGCGUGGGUAAUCUGCCUUUGAGCGGGGGACAACAUUUGGAAACGAAUGCUAAUACCGCAUAAAAACUUUAAACACAAGUUUUAAGUUUGAAAGAUGCAAUUGCAUCACUCAAAGAUGAUCCCGCGUUGUAUUAGCUAGUUGGUGAGGUAAAGGCUCACCAAGGCGAUGAUACAUAGCCGACCUGAGAGGGUGAUCGGCCACAUUGGGACUGAGACGCGGCCCAAACUCCUACGGGAGGCAGCAGUAGGGAAUCUUCGGCAAUGGACGAAAGUCUGACCGAGCAACGCCGCGUGAGUGAAGAAGGUUGUCGGAUCGUAAAACUCUGUUGGUAGAGAAGAACGUUGGUGAGAGUGGAAAGCUCAUCAAGUGACGGUAACUACCCAGAAAGGGACGGCUAACUACGUG